AGAUUAAGUUAUUAAGGGCGAACGGUGGAUGCCUUGGCACUAGAAGCCGAUGAAGGACGUUACUAACGACGAUAUGCUUUGGGGAGCUGUAAGUAAGCUUUGAUCCAGAGAUUUCCGAAUGGGGAAACCCAGCAUGAGUUAUGUCAUG
rnacentral:rRNA from 1 species